AACCGCACUUUAGCAAACAAUGACAUCAUGCGUUGGCGAAUAUGUUAAUAUGCACGCGUCUAAUAAAUAACAGAGAGCAAUUAGCGGUAAAAGUAGACUUUUGAGUGGAAACGUUUGUUCGAAAAACAAAAUCAAAUGAGUGGUUACUUCGUAAAAAAAACCUUUUCCUAUGCAUUUUACUUACAUGAUAUACACAGUAUAUAUAAUCGCUCAUAUAUGGUUGGGAUACAUUACAGAGCAAUCCGUAAAAACGAAUUCAAAGUAGACUGCAUGCUUCAUGGCUCACAAAAACAUUCCGCACACACAAAAGCACAAAGGUUUGCAAUUGAAUGACGUUCCGUUUCCAUAGCUUAAUGAUACAGCCAUUAUUUAUUAACGUUGCCUUCUACAAAGCUGGUCAAAACGAAACGUGAAAAGUACGCUAAACUUUAGCUCUUG